rnacentral:rRNA from 1 species
GAUGAACGCUGGCGGCGUGCCUAACACAUGCAAGUCGAACGGAGAAUUAGCAAUAAUUCUUAGUGGCGAACGGGUGAGUAACACGUAGACAACCUACCCUUUAGAUGGGGACAACACCGCGAAAGUGGUGCUAAUACCGAAUAUUGCUUGAGAAGCGCAUGCGUUUCAAACAAAAGAUGGCCCCUAUUUAUAAGCUAUCGCUAAAGAAUGCGUCUGCGCCUGAUUAGCUAGUUGCUGAGAUAAAAGCUCACCAAGGCAACGAUCAGUAGCCGGCCUGAGAGGAUGAACGGCCACCCUGGGACUGAGAAACGGCCCAGACUCCUACGGGAGGUAGCAGUGGGGAAUCUUCCGCAAUGGACGAAAGUCUGACGGAGCAACGCCGCGUGAGUGAUGAAGGUUUUCGGAUCGUAAAACUCUGUUGUUAAGGACGAAUGUAUAGAUUGUGAAUAAUGGUUUAUAAUGACGGUACUUAACGAGGAAGCCACGGCUAACUACGUGCCAGCCGCCGCAGUAA